UUUGACAAUUACAAUUCCUGUCAGUCUAAUAAUUACCAAGGACAUAAAGUAAGCCAGAUCCUAAGGAUGAGAUUGAGAUUAAGGGCAAAAGAUACAAAGGAAAAGCAAGAACAUAAUGUUAAGGAUGGACACAGAAUCAUCAGGUUACUCAUAUAA